AGAGUAAAUUGAAUAGUCGCGUAUAGCAAGGUCGAAAGGCAGCGUACGAGGAAAGUCCGGGCUCCAAAGAGCAAUAAUGCUGGAUAACGUCCAGUGAGGGAAACCUUAAGGAAAGUGCAACAGAAAAUAACCGCCAUGCUAGAGGUUAGCAGUUAGGAAUUAGUGUAAUUUUGAUUUCUAAAUCUCUAACCUCUAACUUCUAACUUUUAGCAAUGGUAAGGGUGAAAAGGUGAGGUAAGAGCUUACCGCUAGAAAUGGUGACAUUUCUGGGUCAAUGUAAACCCCAUUUGGAGCAACACCGAAACUGAAAAUUAAGGCUGCUCGCCGUUUUCUAAGAGGGUGGCUUGAGACAUAUAGUAAUAUAUGUACUAGAUAAAUGACUAUUUGAAAAACAGAACCCGGCUUAUAGGUUUACUUUUUUU
rnacentral:RNase_P_RNA from 1 species